rnacentral:rRNA from 1 species
GAAACAUCUUCGGGUUGUGAGGUUAAGCGACUAAGCGUACACGGUGGAUGCCCUGGCAGUCAGAGGCGAUGAAGGACGUGCUAAUCUGCGAUAAGCGUCGGUAAGGUGAUAUGAACCGUUAUAACCGGCGAUUUCCGAAUGGGGAAACCCAGUGUGAUUCGUCACACUAUCAUUAACUGAAUCCAUAGGUUAAUGAGGCGAACCGGGGGAACUGAAACAUCUAAGUACCCCGAGGAAAAGAAAUCAACCGAGGAUUCCCCCAGUAGCGGCGAGCGAACGGGGAGGAGCCCAGAGCCUGAAUCAGUGUGUGUGUUAGUGGAAGCGUCUGGAAAGGCGCGCGAUACAGGGUGAGAGCCCCGUACACAAAAAUGCACAUGCUGUGAGCUCGAUGAGUAGGGCGGGACACGUGGUAUCCUGUCUGAAUAUGGGGGGACCAUCCUCCAAGGCUAAAUACUCCUGACUGACCGAUAGUGAACCAGUACCGUGAGGGAAAGGCGAAAAGAACCCCGGCGAGGGGAGUGAAAAAGAACCUGAAACCGUGUACGUACAAGCAGUGGGAGCACAGAGCAAUCUGUGUGACUGCGUACCUUUUGUAUAAUGGGUCAGCGACUUAUAUUCUGUAGCAAGGUUAACCGAAUAGGGGAGCCGAAGGGAAACCGAGUCUUAACUGGGCGUUAAGUUGCAGGGUAUAGACCCGAAACCCGGUGAUCUAGCCAUGGGCAGGUUGAAGGUUGGGUAACACUAACUGGAGGACCGAACCGACUAAUGUUGAAAAAUUAGCGGAUGACUUGUGGCUGGGGGUGAAAGGCCAAUCAAACCGGGAGAUAGCUGGUUCUCCCCGAAAGCUAUUUAGGUAGCGCCUCGUGAAUUCAUCUCCGGGGGUAGAGCACUGUUUCGGCAAGGGGGUCAUCCCGACUUACCAACCCGAUGCAAACUGCGAAUACCGGAGAAUGUUAUCACGGGAGACACACGGCGGGUGCUAACGUCCGUCGUGAAGAGGGAAACAACCCAGACCGCCAGCUAAGGUCCCAAAGUCAUGGUUAAGUGGGAAACGAUGUGGGAAGGCCCAGACAGCCAGGAUGUUGGCUUAGAAGCAGCCAUCAUUUAAAGAAAGCGUAAUAGCUCACUGGUCGAGUCGGCCUGCGCGGAAGAUGUAACGGGGCUAAACCAUGCACCGAAGCUGCGGCAGCGACGCUGAUGCGUUGUUGGGUAGGGGAGCGUUCUGUAAGCCUGCGAAGGUGUGCUGUGAGGCAUGCUGGAGGUAUCAGAAGUGCGAAUGCUGACAUAAGUAACGAUAAAGCGGGUGAAAAGCCCGCUCGCCGGAAGACCAAGGGUUCCUGUCCAACGUUAAUCGGGGCAGGGUGAGUCGACCCCUAAGGCGAGGCCGAAAGGCGUAGUCGAUGGGAAACAGGUUAAUAUUCCUGUACUUGGUGUUACUGCGAAGGGGGGACGGAGAAGGCUAUGUUGGCCGGGCGACGGUUGUCCCGGUUUAAGCGUGUAGGCUGGUUUUCCAGGCAAAUCCGGAAAACUAAGGCUGAGGCGUGAUGACGAGGCACUACGGUGCUGAAGCAACAAAUGCCCUGCUUCCAGGAAAAGCCUCUAAGCAUCAGGUAACAUCAAAUCGUACCCCAAACCGACACAGGUGGUCAGGUAGAGAAUACCAAGGCGCUUGAGAGAACUCGGGUGAAGGAACUAGGCAAAAUGGUGCCGUAACUUCGGGAGAAGGCACGCUGAUAUGUAGGUGAAGUCCCUCGCGGAUGGAGCUGAAAUCAGUCGAAGAUACCAGCUGGCUGCAACUGUUUAUUAAAAACACAGCACUGUGCAAACACGAAAGUGGACGUAUACGGUGUGACGCCUGCCCGGUGCCGGAAGGUUAAUUGAUGGGGUUAGCGCAAGCGAAGCUCUUGAUCGAAGCCCCGGUAAACGGCGGCCGUAACUAUAACGGUCCUAAGGUAGCGAAAUUCCUUGUCGGGUAAGUUCCGACCUGCACGAAUGGCGUAAUGAUGGCCAGGCUGUCUCCACCCGAGACUCAGUGAAAUUGAACUCGCUGUGAAGAUGCAGUGUACCCGCGGCAAGACGGAAAGACCCCGUGAACCUUUACUAUAGCUUGACACUGAACAUUGAGCCUUGAUGUGUAGGAUAGGUGGGAGGCUUUGAAGUGUGGACGCCAGUCUGCAUGGAGCCGACCUUGAAAUACCACCCUUUAAUGUUUGAUGUUCUAACGUGGACCCGUAAUCCGGGUUGCGGACAGUGUCUGGUGGGUAGUUUGACUGGGGCGGUCUCCUCCUAAAGAGUAACGGAGGAGCACGAAGGUUGGCUAAUCCUGGUCGGACAUCAGGAGGUUAGUGCAAUGGCAUAAGCCAGCUUGACUGCGAGCGUGACGGCGCGAGCAGGUGCGAAAGCAGGUCAUAGUGAUCCGGUGGUUCUGAAUGGAAGGGCCAUCGCUCAACGGAUAAAAGGUACUCCGGGGAUAACAGGCUGAUACCGCCCAAGAGUUCAUAUCGACGGCGGUGUUUGGCACCUCGAUGUCGGCUCAUCACAUCCUGGGGCUGAAGUAGGUCCCAAGGGUAUGGCUGUUCGCCAUUUAAAGUGGUACGCGAGCUGGGUUUAGAACGUCGUGAGACAGUUCGGUCCCUAUCUGCCGUGGGCGCUGGAGAACUGAGGGGGGCUGCUCCUAGUACGAGAGGACCGGAGUGGACGCAUCACUGGUGUUCGGGUUGUCAUGCCAAUGGCACUGCCCGGUAGCUAAAUGCGGAAGAGAUAAGUGCUGAAAGCAUCUAAGCACGAAACUUGCCCCGAGAUGAGUUCUCCCUGACUCCUUGAGAGUCCUGAAGGAACGUUGAAGACGACGACGUUGAUAGGCCGGGUGUGUAAGCGCAGCGAUGCGUUGAGCUAACCGGUACUAAUGAACCGUGAGGCUUAACCUU